UACGGAGGGGGCUAGCGUUGUUCGGAAUUACUGGGCGUAAAGCGCACGUAGGCGGCUUUGUAAGUUAGAGGUGAAAGCCCAGGGCUCAACCCUGGAAUUGCCUUUAAGACUGCAUCGCUUGAACAUCGGAGAGGUAAGUGGAAUUCCGAGUGUAGAGGUGAAAUUCGUAGAUAUUCGGAAGAACACCAGUGGCGAAGGCGACUUACUGGACGAUUGUUGACGCUGAGGUGCGAAAGCGUGGGGAUCAAACAGG
rnacentral:rRNA from 1 species